rnacentral:rRNA from 1 species
AGAUAGAGGAGUGCUCGAAAGAGAACCGUAACACAGUGCUGCAUGGCUGUCGUCAGCUCGUGUCGUGAGAUGUUGGGUUAAGUCCCGCAACGAGCGCAACCCUUGUCAUUAGUUGCUACAUUCAGUUGGGCACUCUAAUGAGACUGCCGGUGACAAACCGGAGGAAGGUGGGGAUGACGUCAAGUCCUCAUGGCCCUUAUAGGUGGGGCUACACACGUCAUACAAUGGAUGGUACAAAGGGUCGCCAACCCGCGAGGGGGAGCCAAUCCCAUAAAGCCAUUCGUAGUCCGGAUCGCAGUCUGCAACUCGACUGCGUGAAGUCGGAAUCGCUAGUAAUCGUGGAUCAGAAUGUCACGGUGAAUACGUUCCCGAGUCUU